UACGUAGGGCGCGAGCGUUGUCCGGAAUUAUUGGGCGUAAAGAGCUCGUAGGCGGCCUGUUGCGUCCGCUGUGAAAUCCCAGGGCUCAACCCCGGGCCUGCAGUGGAUACGGGCUGGCUAGAGGCAGGCAGGGGAGAACGGAAUUCCUGGUGUAGCGGUGAAAUGCGCAGAUAUCAGGAGGAACACCGGUGGCGAAGGCGGUUCUCUGGGCCUGUACUGACGCUGAGGAGCGAAAGCGUGGGGAGCGAACAGG
rnacentral:rRNA from 1 species